AUUGAACGCUGGCGGCAGGCCUAACACAUGCAAGUCGAGCGGAUGAAGGGAGCUUGCUCCUGGAUUCCGCGGCGGACGGGUGAGUAAUGCCUAGGAAUCUGCCUGGUAGUGGGGGAUAACGUCCGGAAACGGGCGCUAAUACCGCAUACGUCCUGAGGGUGAAAGUGGGUGAGCUUCGGACCUCACGCUAUCAGAUGAGCCUAGGUCGGAUUAGCUAGUUGGUGGGGUAAAGGCCUACCAAGCCGACGAUCCGUAACUGGUCUGAGAGGAUGAUCAGUCACACUGGAACUGAGACACGGUCCAGACUCCUACGGUAGGCAGCAGUGGGGAAUAUUGGACAAUGGGCGAAAGCCUGAUCCAGCCAUGCCGCGUGUGUGAAGAAGGUCUUCGGAUUGUAAAGCACUUUAAGUUGGGAGGAAGGGCAGUAAGUUAAUACCUUGCUGUUUUGACGUUACCAACAGAAUAAGCACCGGCUAACUUCGUG
rnacentral:rRNA from 1 species